UGGCCCUCGAUGAGCGGGCUGGCAUCCUUCGGGGUUACAGCCUUGCUGAAUUAUUCACCCGUGUCUUUUGCGUACUUCUUGUUUCCUUGGUGGGUUCGCCCUCCAUAGGACAAACCAUAAACCUUUUGUAAUUGCAAUCAGCGUCAGUAAAAAAAAUUAAUAAUUACAACUUUUAACAACGGAUCUCUUGGUUCUGGCAUCGAUGAAGAACGCAGCGAAAUGCGAUAAGUAGUGUGAAUUGCAGAAUUCAGUGAAUCAUCGAAUCUUUGAACGCACAUUGCGCCCUUUGGUAUUCCAAAGGGCAUGCCUGUUCGAGCGUCAUUUGUACCCUCAAGCUUUGCUUGGUGUUGGGCGUCUUGUCUCCAGUUCGCUGGAGACUCGCCUUAAAGUAAUUGGCAGCCGGCCUACUGGUUUCGGAGCGCAGCACAAGUCGCGCUCUCUUCCAGCCAAGGUCAGCAUCCACAAAGCCUUUUUUCAACUUUUGACCUCGGAUCAGGUAGGGAUACCCGCUGAACUUAAGCAUAUCAAUAAGCGGAGGA
rnacentral:sRNA from 1 species